GUCGGGAUAGCUCAGCUGGUAGAGCAGAGGACUUGAAA
rnacentral:tRNA from 1 species